rnacentral:lncRNA from 1 species
AGAUUAAAUAUCCAGCACGCAACCGCACUGUUGCCAGAUUUACAUCUUUAGCGGGAAGUUUAAAAUUUGACAGUUGUGUUUUCUCGAAUCCGAAUCUUAACCUUACUUUUACAGGUGAUUAUGUGUAUGUAAAUAAAUUGAAACAAGUCUUGUUUGUAUAUACUGUUAUUAUUUAAAACUCUAAAUAAUUUAUGUUAGUCUUUUAACAAAAAUGAAGCUCAAAAAACUACACUUGUUUACAGUGCAAAUGAUUUUUUAAUGGCAAGAGGGAUUUAGGAUUUCAUUUGCAGGAAAAACAUGGGCAACCUACCCAGUUGGUAAAAUUGCAAUUCAAAAACUCUUUAGAUUUUACUGUCUGGAUGGCACAGGAAGAGAAACAAAAUAAUGUUCUGUACUGCAGUCACAGGAGUACAUAGUAGAGAUAUAA